rnacentral:rRNA from 1 species
GAUGAACGCUGGCGGCGUGCCUAAUACAUGCAAGUCGAGCGAACAGACGAGGAGCUUGCUCCUCUGACGUUAGCGGCGGACGGGUGAGUAACACGUGGAUAACCUACCUAUAAGACUGGGAUAACUUCGGGAAACCGGAGCUAAUACCGGAUAAUAUAUUGAACCGCAUGGUUCAAUAGUGAAAGACGGUUUUGCUGUCACUUAUAGAUGGAUCCGCGCCGCAUUAGCUAGUUGGUAAGGUAACGGCUUACCAAGGCAACGAUGCGUAGCCGACCUGAGAGGGUGAUCGGCCACACUGGAACUGAGACACGGUCCAGACUCCUACGGGAGGCAGCAGUAGGGAAUCUUCCGCAAUGGGCGAAAGCCUGACGGAGUAACGCCGCGUGAGUGAUGAAGGUCUUUGGAUCGUAAAACUCUGUUAUUAGGGAAGAACAAAUGUGUAAGUAACUAUGCACGUCUUGACGGUACCUAAUCAGAAAGCCACGGCUAACUACGUG